AUUGAACGCUGGCGGCAGGCUUAACACAUGCAAGUCGAGCGGUAACAGAGAGAAGCUUGCUUCUCUGCUGACGAGCGGCGGACGGGUGAGUAAUGCCUAGGAAUCUGCCUAGUAGUGGGGGAUAACUUGCCGAAAGGUAAGCUAAUACCGCAUACGUCCUACGGGAGAAAGGAGGGGACCUUCGGGCCUUUCGCUAUUAGAUGAGCCUAGGUCGGAUUAGUUAGUUGGUGAGGUAAUGGCUCACCAAGACCGCGAUCCGUAACUGGUCUGAGAGGAUGAUCAGUCACACUGGAACUGAGACACGGUCCAGACUCCUACGGGAGGCAGCAGUGGGGAAUAUUGGACAAUAGGGGGGAACCCUGAUCCAGCCAUGCCGCGUGUGUGAAGAAGGUCUUAGGAUUGUAAAGCACUUUAAGUUGGGAGGAAGAGCAGUUAACUAAUAUUUGACUGUUUUGACGUUACCGACAGAAUAAGCACCGGCUAACUUCGUG
rnacentral:rRNA from 1 species